GUCGGGAUUGAAGUAGGGCCAAACAUCUCUUUAUUUCUCCCCAACAGUACAUUUCCUUCCACGUGUUCAGACAAUUCCCCCAACAUGUUCUUUGGUAGAACCUUUUCUCCCCACCUCCACCUGCAAAUCCCGACGGUAACCUCUAUUUUGGUGCAAACAGAACGUUCGGUUUGAAGGCUUCACAAGGCAUACAUGUUCACGUACCCCUCUUUCCCUUUUCGGAGUCCCAUUUUCCCACCCCCUUCUCCCCCUAGUUCUUGUUUCUCCACAUCUUUCUCAAUUCAAUUCCGAGUAGUUCUCUCCCUUCGCUGAAAAUUAGCGCACAGUGGAUCUAUAUUUGGCUGGGAACUCACGGAGUGUCAACAUUUUGCUGUUGACCGAGGCUAAUUUUUAGGUCAUAGGUUCUUUGUGAAGCAUGAUUCUUUUCCUGGUGGCAAAGGGAUUUUGGUAUCGCCUCUUCCCCUUCCUUUCCUCCACUCAGUUGCAAUGAUUUAUCCAUGGAAUUAAUCAUGAGCAUCAUGAUUAGAAUGAAUUAAUUCUUGUAGUGUGGCAGCUCCGGGUGAUGUUUUCUUAUAGCAUUUCUAUACAAGGUAAGGUUAGUCUUCAGUCCGUUUGCUGUACACUAGCAAGUGUGGAGAAACGGCCAUCCUCAUGACAUCGAAAAAAAGGAAAUAAUGCGAAGGCAGUAGUACAUAAAACAGUUAGUAAAGCCCCUAGCUAUCCAACUUUAAUUUAGUUCUGUACCAAAAGAUAUACAUUCAUGAGUCACAUUAGUAUUGGAAGAUUGGAAUAGCUAGGGACCUUAAAUAUAUUCCCUAGAAUCAAUGAUCACUGUCAGGGAAAGUUCCAUGUAAUUCAAUAUAUAAAGUUCAACUUUCCAGGCAAGUUUUGAGAAAUUCUCAAUUAACUCCUCCUUGAUUUGAAUAAAUAUAUCGAACUCUCUCAGCCGGACUCCUGAUCUUGUACAUAUCACCCUUAAUCCAACGUCUAAUUAAUAUAAAAACAGCGAAAAAUCACCAAAACGCUCCCCGUCCCUGAUCAAAAGAAUCACCAUUAUGCUAUAAUUUCUAUUAUGUUCUCGUGUGACAAAAUGUGCAUUUGAAAUGUGAUAGUCUCCGACGAUGUUUUUCUUUCAAUCU